rnacentral:rRNA from 1 species
CCUACGGGAGGCAGCAGUGAGGAAUAUUGGUCAAUGGGCGGGAGCCUGAACCAGCCAAGUCGCGUGAGGGAAGACGGUCCUAUGGGUUGUAAACCUCUUUAGGCGGGGAGCAAUGCCGGGCACGUGUGCCCGGAGGGAGAGUACCCGCAGAAUAAGCAUCGGCUAACUCCGUGCCAGCAGCCGCGGUAAUACGGAGGAUGCGAGCGUUAUCCGGAUUUAUUGGGUUUAAAGGGUGCGUAGGCGGAUUUUUAAGUCAGCGGUAAAAUCGCGGGGCUCAACCUCGCUCCGCCGUUGAAACUGGCGUUCUUGAGUGGGCGAGAAGUAUGGGGAAGGGGGGGUGUAGCGGUGAAAUGCAUAGAUAUCACGCAGAACUCCGAUUGCGAAGGCAGCAUACCGGCGCCCAACGGACGCUGAAGCACGAAAGCGUGGGUAUCGAACAGGAUUAGAUACCCCGGUAGU